rnacentral:rRNA from 2 species
UAGGGAAUCUUCGGCAAUGGGGGGAACCCUGACCGAGCAACGCCGCGUGAGUGAAGAAGGUUUUCGGAUCGUAAAGCUCUGUUGUUAAGGAAGAACGAGUGUGAGAAUGGAAAGUUCAUGCUGUGACGGUACUUAACCAGAAAGGGACGGCUAACUACGUGCCAGCAGCCGCGGUAAUACGUGGGUCCCGAGCGUUGUCCGGAUUUAUUGGGCGUAAAGCGAGCGCAGGCGGUUAGAAAAGUCUGAAGUGAAAGGCAGUGGCUCAACCAUUGUAGGCUUUGGAAACUGUUUAACUUGAGUGCAGAAGGGGAGAGUGGAAUUCCAUGUGUAGCGGUGAAAUGCGUAGAUAUAUGGAGGAACACCGGUGGCGAAAGCGGCUCUCUGGUCUGUAACUGACGCUGAGGCUCGAAAGCGUGGGGAGCGAACAGG